CCCAGGCAAGGUGGCAUGUACCUGUGGUCCUAGCUACUUAGGAGGCUAAGGCAGGAGGAUUGCUUGAGCUCAGGAGGUCAAGGCUAAAGUGAGACAUGAUUGUGUCACUGCACUCCAGCCUGGGUGACAGAGCAAGACUCUGUCUCAAGAAAAACAAGAAAAGAAAAAAAGAAAAGAAAAGGCAAUGUCUUGUUCUAUCACCCAGGCUGGAGUGCAGUGACACAAUCAUGUCUCACUUUAGCCUUGACCUCCUGAGCUCAAGCAAUCCUCCUGCCUUAG
rnacentral:SRP_RNA from 1 species